UACGUAGGGUGCAAGCGUUAAUCGGAAUUACUGGGCGUAAAGCGUGCGCAGGCGGUUGUGUAAGUCUGUCGUGAAAUCCCCGGGCUCAACCUGGGAAUUGCGAUGGAGACUGCACGGCUAGAGUGUGUCAGAGGGGGGUAGAAUUCCACGUGUAGCAGUGAAAUGCGUAGAUAUGUGGAGGAACACCGAUGGCGAAGGCAGCCCCCUGGGAUAACACUGACGCUCAUGCACGAAAGCGUGGGGAGCAAACAGG
rnacentral:rRNA from 1 species